ensembl:lncRNA
AGGCCCCAUCCAGAGAGACCAGCACCACCCUGCAACACCAGGCCCCAUCCAGAGACACCAGCACCACCCUACACCACCAGGCCCCAUCCAGAGAGACCAGCACCACCCUACACCACCAAGGCCCCAUCCAGAGAGACCAUCUCUACCCUACACCACCAGGCCCCAUCCAGAGAGACCAGCACUACCCUGCACCACCAGGCCCCAUACAGAGAGACCAGCACCACCCUACACCACCAGGCACCAUCCAGAGUGACCAUCACAACCCUGCACCACCAGGCCCCAUCCAGAGAGACCAGCACCACCCUACACCACCAGGCCCCAUCCAGAGAGACCAGCACCACCCUACACCACCAAUGCCCCAUCCAGAGAGACCAGCACAACCCUACACCACCAGGCCCCAUCCAGAGAGACCAGCACCACCCUACACCACCAGGCCCCAUCCAGAGAGACCAGCAACACCCUGCACCACCAGGCCCCAUCCAGAGAGACCAGCACAACCCUACACCACCAGGCCCCAUCCAGAGAGACCAGCAACACCCUGCACCACCAGGCCCCAUCCAGAGAGACCAGCACCACCCUACACCACCAGGCCCCAUCCAGAGAGACCAGCACCACCCUACACCACCAGGCCCCAUACAGAGAGACCAGCACCACCCUACACCACCAGGCCCCAUCCAGAGAGACCAGCACCACCAUGCACCACCAGGCCCCAUACAGAGAGACCAGCACCACCCUGCACCACCAGGUCCCAUCCAGAGAGACCAUCUCUACCCUACACCACCAGGCCCCAUCCAGAGAGACCAGCACUACCCUGCACCACCAGGCCCCAUCCAGAGAGACCAGCACCACCCUACACCAACAGGCCCCAUCCAGAGUGACCAUCACCACCCUGCACCACCAGGCCCCAUCCAGAGAGACCAGCACCACCCUACACCACCAGGCCCCAUCCAGAGAGACCAGCACCACCCUACACCACCAAGGCCCCACCCAGAGAGACCAGCAUCACACUAUACCACCAUGCCCCAUCCAGAGAGACCAGCACCACCCUACACCACCAGGCCCCAUCCAGAGAGACCAGCACCACCCUGCACCACCAGGCCCCAUCCAGAGAGACCAUCUCUACCCUACACCACCAGGCCCCAUCCAGAGAGACCAGCACCACCCUGCACCACCAGGCCCCAUCCAGAGAGACCAGCACCACCCUACACCACCAGGCCCCAUCCAGAGUGACCAGCACCACCCUGCACCACCAGGCCCCAUCCAGAGAGACCAGCACCACCCUACACCACCAGGCCCCAUCCAGAGAGACCAGCACUACCCUGCACCACCAGGCCCCAUCCAGAGAGACCAGCACCACCCUACACCAUCGUGUCCCUUCCAGAGAGGCCAGCUCCACCCUACAAUAUUGAGCCCCUCCCAGAGAGACCUGGUCCACCC